rfam:Rhodococcus sp. PBTS1, complete genome.
GGCGUUUUUCGCGGCGGCGGAGGUCGACCGCCGACUGCGGUGAUCGUCGAUUACAUCGACGGCUACCGCGACCGAUUCGGGUCGCCCCGAUCUGUUCCGUGCUCACCGAGCACGGAACGAAGAUCGCCCCG